rnacentral:rRNA from 1 species
GUGCUAGCCGCCGCGGUAAUACCGGCGGCCCGAGUGGUGGCCGCUAUUAUUGGGCCUAAAGCGUCCGUAGCCGGGCCCGUAAGUCCCUGGCGAAAUCCCACGGCUCAACCGUGGGGCUUGCUGGGGAUACUGCGGGCCUUGGGACCGGGAGAGGCCGGGGGUACCCCUGGGGUAGGGGUGAAAUCCUAUAAUCCCAGGGGGACCGCCAGUGGCGAAGGCGCCCGGCUGGAACGGGUCCGACGGUGAGGGACGAAGGCCAGGGGAGCGAACCGGAUUAGAAACCCUGGUAGUCC